GAUGAACGCUGGCGGCGUGCCUAAUACAUGCAAGUCGAGCGAACGGACGAGAAGCUUGCUUCUCUGAUGUUAGCGGCGGACGGGUGAGUAACACGUGGAUAACCUACCUAUAAGACUGGGAUAACUUCGGGAAACCGGAGCUAAUACCGGAUAAUAUUUUGAACCGCAUGGUUCAAAAGUGAAAGACGGUCUUGCUGUCACUUAUAGAUGGAUCCGCGCUGCAUUAGCUAGUUGGUAAGGUAACGGCUUACCAAGGCAACGAUGCAUAGCCGACCUGAGAGGGUGAUCGGCCACACUGGAACUGAGACACGGUCCAGACUCCUACGGGAGGCAGCAGUAGGGAAUCUUCCGCAAUGGGCGAAAGCCUGACGGAGCAACGCCGCGUGAGUGAUGAAGGUCUUCGGAUCGUAAAACUCUGUUAUUAGGGAAGAACAUAUGUGUAAGUAACUGUGCACAUCUUGACGGUACCUAAUCAGAAAGCCACGGCUAACUACGUGCCGGCAGCCGCGGUAAUACGUAGGUGGCAAGCGUUAUCCGGAAUUAUUGGGCGUAAAGCGCGCGUAGGCGGUUUUUUAAGUCUGAUGUGAAAGCCCACGGCUCAACCGUGGAGGGUCAUUGGAAACUGGAAAACUUGAGUGCAGAAGAGGAAAGUGGAAUUCCAUGUGUAGCGGUGAAAUGCGCGGAGAUAUGGAGGAACACCAGUGGCGAAGGCGACUUUCUGGCCUGUAACUGACGCUGAUGUGCGAAAGCGUGGGGAUCAAACAGGAUUAGACACCCUGGUAGUCCACGCCGUAAACGAUGAGUGCUAAGUGUUAGGGGGUUUCCGCCCCUUAGUGCUGCAGCUAACGCAUUAAGCACUCCGCCUGGGGAGUACGACCGCAAGGUUGAAACUCAAAGGAAUUGACGGGGACCCGCACAAGCGGUGGAGCAUGUGGUUUAAUUCGAAGCAACGCGAAGAACCUUACCAAAUCUUGACAUCCUUUGACAACUCUAGAGAUAGAGCCUUCCCCUUCGGGGGACAAAGUGACAGGUGGUGCAUGGUUGUCGUCAGCUCGUGUCGUGAGAUGUUGGGUUAAGUCCCGCAACGAGCGCAACCCUUAAGCUUAGUCGCCAUCAUUAAGUUGGGCACUCUAAGUUGACUGCCGGUGACAAACCGGAGGAAGGUGGGGAUGACGUCAAAUCAUCAUGCCCCUUAUGAUUUGGGCUACACACGUGCUACAAUGGACAAUACAAAGGGCAGCGAAACCGCGAGGUCAAGCAAAUCCCAUAAAGUUGUUCUCAGUUCGGAUUGUAGUCUGCAACUCGACUACAUGAAGCUGGAAUCGCUAGUAAUCGUAGAUCAGCAUGCUACGGUGAAUACGUUCCCGGGUCU
rnacentral:rRNA from 1 species